rnacentral:rRNA from 1 species
CUACGGGCCGCACCAGUGGGGAAUAUUGCGCAAUGGGCGAAAGCCUGACGCAGCAACGCCGCGUGAGUGAUGAAGGCCUUCGGGUCGUAAAGCUCUGUCGGGAGGGAAGAACACCUUCGGGUCUGACGGUACCUCCCGAGGAAGCACAGGCUAACUCCGUGCCAGCAGCCGCGGUAAUACGGAGUGUGCAAGCGUUGUUCGGAAUUACUGGGCGUAAAGCGCGCGUAGGCGGCUUGAUAAGUCAGAUGUGAAAUCCCUCGGCUUAACCGAGGAACUGCAUUUGAAACUGUCAGGCUUGAGUACGGGAGGGGGAAGCGGAAUUCCCAGUGUAGAGGUGAAAUUCGUAGAUAUUGGGAGGAACACCAGCGGCGAAGGCGGCUUCCUGGAUCGAUACUGACGCUGAGGCGCGAAAGCGUGGGGAGCAAACAGGAUUAGAUACCCGCGUAGUC